rnacentral:sRNA from 1 species
UAUUUAUUCACAAAAUUGAUAGCACAGGCAGCAUCUGUGAAAGCUUCCUAGUCUUUGUCCCACUGAUGUGUCUCAGCCCUGGCCUGGAGGGAUCACAUCUAAGUGUGAAA